rnacentral:tRNA from 1 species
CGGGGCGUAGCGCAGUCUGGUAGCGCACCUGCUUUGGGAGCAGGGGGCCGGAGGUUCAAAUCCUCUCGCCCCGACCA